rnacentral:rRNA from 1 species
UACGGGGGGGGCAAGCGUUGUUCGGAAUUACUGGGCGUAAAGGGCUUGUAGGUGGCCAACUAAGUCAGACGUGAAAUCCCUCGGCUUAACCGGGGAACUGCGUCUGAUACUGGAUGGCUUGAGUGUGGGAGAGGGAUGCGGAAUUCCAGGUGUAGCGGUGAAAUGCGUAGAUAUCCGGAGGAACACCGGUGGCGAAGGCGGCUUCCUGGACCGAUCACUGACGCUGAGGCGCGAAAGCUAGGGGAGCAAACGGG